rnacentral:rRNA from 1 species
AUACGGAGGGUGCAAGCGUUGUUCGGAAUUACUGGGCGUAAAGCGCGUGUAGGCGGCUUGGCAAGUCGGAUGUGAAAGCCCGGGGCUCAACCCCGGAACUGCAUCCGAAACUGCCUCGCUAGAGUCCCGGAGAGGAAGGCAGAAUUCCCAGUGUAGGGGUGAAAUCCGUAGAUAUUGGGAGGAAUACCAGUGGCGAAGGCGGCCUUCUGGACGGUGACUGACGCUCAGACGCGAAAGCGUGGGGAGCAAACAGGAUUAGAAACCCGAGUAGUCC